rnacentral:rRNA from 1 species
ACGUGGGUAACCUGCCCUUAAGUGGGGGAUAACAUUUGGAAACAGAUGCUAAUACCGCAUAGAUCCAAGAACCGCAUGGUUCUUGGCUGAAAGAUGGCGUAAGGCUAUCGCUUUUGGAUGGACCCGCGGCGUAUUAGCUAGUUGGUGAGGUAAUGGCUCACCAAGGCGAUGAUACGUAGCCGAACUGAGAGGUUGAUCGGCCACAUUGGGACUGAGACACGGCCCAAACUCCUACGGGAGGCAGCAGUAGGGAAUCUUCCACAAUGGACGCAAGUCUGAUGGAGCAACGCCGCGUGAGUGAAGAAGGCUUUCGGGUCGUAAAACUCUGUUGUUGGAGAAGAAUGGUCGGCAGAGUAACUGUUGUCGGCGUGACGGUAUCCAACCAGAAAGCCACGGCUAACUACGUGCCAGCAGCCGCGGUAAUACGUAGGUGGCAAGCGUUAUCCGGAUUUAUUGGGCGUAAGGCGAGCGCAGGCGGUUUUUUAAGUCUGAUGUGAAAGCCCUCGGCUUAACCGAGGAAGCGCAUCGGAAACUGGGAAACUUGAGUGCAGAAGAGGACAGUGGAACUCCAUGUGUAGCGGUGAAAUGCGUAGAUAUAUGGAAGAACACCAGUGGCGAAGGCGGCUGUCUGGUCUGUAACUGACGCUGAGGCUCGAAAGCAUGGUAGCGAACAGGAUUAGAUACCCUGGUAGU